GUUUCCGUAGGUGAACCUGCGGAAGGAUCAUUC
rnacentral:rRNA from 2 species